rnacentral:rRNA from 1 species
GACGAACGCUGGCGGCGUGCUUAACACAUGCAAGUCGAACGGAAAGGCCCUGCUUUUGUGGGGUGCUCGAGUGGCGAACGGGUGAGUAACACGCGGGUAACCCGCCCUUGACUUUGGGAUAAUUCCAGGAAACUGGGGCUAAUAUCGGAUAGAAGCUCCUGCUGCUUGGUGGUGGUUGGAAAGUUUCGGCGGUUGGGGAUGGUCUCGCGGCUGAUCAGCUUGUUGGUGGGGUAGUGGCUUUCCAAGGCUUUGACGGGUAGCCGGCCUGAGGGGGUGACCGGCGCAAUUGGGACUGCGGUACGGACCAGACUCCUCCGGGGGGCAGCAGUGGGAAAUAUUGCACAAUGGGCGGAAGCCUGAGGCAGCGACGCCGCGUGCGGGAUGAGGGCCUUCGGGUUGUAAACCGCUUUCGCCUGUGACGAAGCGUUAGUGACGGUAAUGAGUAAAGAAGCACCGGCUAACUACGUG